GGGAUUCCGAGCUGUGGGCAGCGGCUCCUGCCAGCGCCUGGUCUCGACUUCUGGGUUUCUCAGUCCCUGAGCUGUCCCUGUUGGCCCGACGCUGCGCCGCCCGCAUGUUUGCAUAUACUUAAACUUGUCCUGGCGUUCCCUGACCUUGUGUCAACUUGCAGGCUGUGUAGGACGUCACCCUGAUCUUCUACCCUGGCUUCUCCAGCAGCCAAACCGAACCACUCCAGUUGCUUCAGAUCUUUCGUGAAUAAGCCAUUAAUCGUUAUUGGAACGCCUCAUCUUUGGGAACCUUUUCCACUACCUGUUCUCACUCUACCACCUUGUCCUCACCCGUGACCGUGUCGCUUCAGAAACAUGAUGUAGGGAGACUACAUCCCCUGACCUCUCAGAGGCCCCCACUGUGCUGCACCUUACAGACAAAAUCCCGUGGAGACUGGGUUCCUGCUGUCACACAGGCCAUUACGCAGAUUUUGGAUGCCAAGGUGGAAGCCACACACAGCCCGAAACUUCUCAGGAAGUGUGCUGCCAAGCACUGGUACCUCGACGUGACUCAACCCAACCAGAAACGAGAAGGCUCAUUAAUAAAAUCCCUAAGGCUAGGAUCCUGAGGCCCAGAGCAGGAUGGAGAAAGGUGAAGAGGCGAUUUGGAGGAGCAGAUAUCCAGCAUGGGCUCUCAGGCUUGGAAGGCACUAUAUCCCUUCCACCCACAUUCCAUUGGCCAGAACCCCAUCCUAUGGCCACCUCUAACUACAAAUUAAGAAAUCAAGUGCCCAAGAGGAGGAAGGAAAAGAUUUGGUGAAUAGCAUACCCCUCUCUACCUCAUGGCCAAGCAAGAUGACAACUGAGAAUUGACCACUGGAUUCAGCAAUAUGGAGGCAAUUGGUGAUCAUGAUAAUCCAGUCUUGGUUAGAGUUGUGAGUGUGAAAGCCUAAUGGGAGUGGAUGCAAGACAGAAUGGGAGAAGAAUCGGAGACUGGCAAUUGCUAACAACUUCUUUCAGUCAGUUUUGCUGAAAAGGGAAUCAAAGCAAAAAGGUAUUUCAUUAGAGGCAAGACACUUGCCAUGUACCUCAUCAUCGGCCCUGUCAAGACACAACCACUGAAGACAACGACUGAAUGACUGCCAGAUUCCUAUAGAGUUUUAAGGUGGUCGUCUCUGAGUUGGUCAGUUACGCUGAUGGUAGAAUUGUGUUCACAAGGACAAGGAUUCCACCACACCUUGAGGCUUGGUGAAGAACCUCGGCUUAAGCACGUUUUUACGGCUAAAAUUAUCUAACUGUCGCUGCAGGAAAGUACACUGCUGAGUGAGAAUGAAGGAUUUAUGGAACUGUUUCAGGGUAGGGUGACUGGUGUUUUAAAAAAAAAUCCUGCCCAAGAACAUGUGGGGUAUGACUUUUUAUAAAUCAUAGUUACUAAAAGUGAGCAGUCAUAUGUAUAAACUCAGAUUAAAAAAAAAAUAAAAACAGUAGUAGUGUUUAGACAUGCGUGAGAGAGCUCUGCAGCACUUUAAGAGUUAAAUCAGUCAGAUUAAAUCAUAAGGGAUGGAAGCCAUAUAUUA